AUUGAACGCUGGCGGCAUGCCUUACACAUGCAAGUCGAACGGUAACAGGUUAAGCUGACGAGUGGCGAACGGGUGAGUAAUACAUCGGAACGUGCCCAGACGUGGGGGAUAGCUCGGCGAAAGCCGGAUUAAUACCGCAUAAGCUCUGAGGAGGAAAGCGGGGGACCGUAAGGCCUCGCGCGUUUGGAGCGGCCGAUGGCAGAUUAGGUAGUUGGUGGGGUAAAGGCUUACCAAGCCUACGAUCUGUAGCUGGGCUGAGAGGACGACCAGCCACACUGGGACUGAGACACGGCCCAGACUCCUACGGGAGGCAGCAGUGGGGAAUUUUGGACAAUGGGCGAAAGCCUGAUCCAGCAAUGCCGCGUGCAGGAUGAAGGCCUUCGGGUUGUAAACUGCUUUUGUGCGGAACGAAAAGGCGCCUACUAAUACUGGGUGUUGAUGACGGUACCGUAAGAAUAAGCACCGGCUAACUACGUGCCAGCCGCCGCAGUAA
rnacentral:rRNA from 1 species